AGCUUUGCACAGUGGCAGUAUUGUAGCCAGUGAGGCUUAUCUGAGGCACAAUUAUUGCUAAUUGAUCAUUUCCCAAUACCCCACUAUGACAACUCAAAUUACAGUGUGCACUGACAAUUUUUGACAGUCUCUUUCGAGA
ensembl:snRNA U4 U4 spliceosomal RNA